UGGUUUUCUCGCAAGAGACCAAGUGACAGGUGCUGCAUGGCUGUCGUCAGCUCGUGUCGUGAGAUGUUCGGUUAAGUCCGGCAACGAGCGCAACCCACAUCCUUAGUUGCCAGCAGUUCGGCUGGGCACUCUAGGGAAACUGCCCGUGAUAAGCGGGAGGAAGGUGUGGAUGACGUCAAGUCCUCAUGGCCCUUACGGGUUGGGCUACACACGUGCUACAAUGGCAUCAACAAUGGGUUAAUCCCAAAAAGAUGUCUCAGUUCGGAUUGGGGUCUGCAACUCGACCCCAUGAAGUCGGAAUCGCUAGUAAUCGCGUAACAGCA
rnacentral:rRNA from 1 species